CUAAAUUUUAGAUUUGCUUGAGGCAGGAGAAGGGCUUUUCGCUUGGCCUCUAAACACUACAUGGCUUUAGCUGCAAGAUGUGUUGCUGGUUUUGAUUUUAAUCAGUUUCUUAUUUGUAAUUUGCAAUUAUUAUUAUUUUUUCUUUUCUUUCAUGUUAUUUCCAGAGGAAGCCCUGGAUGAAGGUUGUUGGUCUGGUGGAGAAAUAGGCACUAACACUUCAGAUGAGAGAUGGACCGAUAUUCUCUGCAUGGCUGAGGCCAGUAACUAUCUGUGAACGGUGACUCACGAUCCGGUCAGACGCACAUCCACACAAGUGAUGCCAGCAGCCUGGUCCCAGCGGGAUGUACACCGAGUGGGAUGAGUCAACCCUGCCGUCUGCAGCGCUGCAUUCAGGCUGCCCAGGAGGAGACACCUGCCGGUACCAAAAGCCUGACAGGGAAGGAGGACCAUCCCCAAAGCCCAAAUACUGAGCUCUCAGUUGGGAUUCGCGCUGGUGAGAAGGACUUUGCUGAAGCACUGCUGGUGGGAGGUCUGGUACAAGCCUGCCCCAAGUACUCCAGAGGGGUAAAGCAAGCUAAAGCCAAUAUUUAUCCUCAUCCCUACUUUCCACCCCAUUUAGCUAGCUGGGACAAACACAAGAUUUCCUCCCAUGGAGUUUCCUGA
rnacentral:lncRNA from 1 species